rnacentral:rRNA from 1 species
UUCCAGGCCCUUACGGGGCGCAGCAGGCGCGAAACCUCUGCAAUAGGCGAAAGCCUGACAGGGUUACUCUGAGUGAUUCCCGCUAAGGGGAUCUUUUGGCACCUCUAAAAAUGGUGCAGAAUAAGGGGUGGGCAAGUCUGGUGUCAGCCGCCGCGGUAAUACCAGCACCCCGAGUGGUCGGGACGAUUAUUGGGCCUAAAGCAUCCGUAGCCGGUCAUGCAAGUCCUCCGUUAAAUCCACCUGCUUAACAGAUGGGCUGCGGAGGAUACUACAAGGCUAGGAGGCGGAAGAGGCAAGCGGUACUCAGUGGGUAGGGGUAAAAUCCUCUGAUCCAUUGAAGACCACCAGUGGCGAAGGCGGCUUGCCAAUACGCGCUCGACGGUGAGGGAUGAAAGCUGGGGGAGCAAACCGGAUUAGAUACCCGGGUAGUCCCAGCUGUAAACGAUGCAGACUCGGUGAUGGGCCGGCUUUAUGCCGGCUCAGUGCCGCAGGGAAGCCGUUAAGUCUGCCGCCUGGGGAGUACGGUCGCAAGACUGAAACUUAAAGGAAUUUGGCGGGGGAG